rnacentral:sRNA from 1 species
GCCAGGUGUGGUGGCACACACCUGUAAUUCCAGCAACUCGGGAGGCUGAGGCAGGGGAUCUCAAGCCAGCCUCAGCAACUUAGCGAGGCCCUAAACAACUCAGUGAGACUCUGUCUCAA